rfam:Culex pipiens quinquefasciatus supercont3.1280 genomic scaffold, whole genome shotgun sequence.
GGACUUGUCAUGUAGGGGUAAGCAUGGUUGCCUCUCAUCCAGUUGGCCUGGGUUCGAUCCCAGAAGGUUCC